AAAACAUCGCCUUUUGAUCAUUAUAAAAGGUAACGCCUGCCCAGUGACAUAUGUUCAACGGCCGCGGUAUUCUAACCGUGCGAAGGUAGCGUAAUAACUUGUCUUUUAAAUAAGGACUAGUAUGAAUGGCAUCACGAGGACUUAACUGUCUCCCUAAUUUAAUCAGUGAAACUGAUCUUCCCGUGAAAAAGCGGGAAUGAUUUCAUAAGACGAGAAGACCCUGUGGAGCUUUAAAUUAAAAACUAAUUGUAUAAUCUGCCACAUUAAAUGUCACUAAUAUACAAAUUUAGCCUAAAUUUUUGGUUGGGGCGACUAUGGAGAAAAACCCAUCCUCCAUGAUUUUAUACUAUGAGUUACCACUCUAAGUAUUAGCAAGUCUAAAUUUUUAAUUGAUCCAAUUUUUGAUCAACGGACCAAGUUACCCCAGGGAUAACAGCGCAAUCCAUUUCAAGAGUCCCUAUCGACAAAUGGGUUUACGACCUCGAUGUUGGAUUAGGACAUCCUAGUGGUGCAGCCGCUACUAAUGGUUCGUUUGUU
rnacentral:rRNA from 1 species